UUUUUUAAAUUGAUUUAUUUUCUCAGACUGCAAAAUUGCAAGAGUUAUGGUUCUGCGGCGGGCAUCAGACCCGCGCCACUCACUAUCGAGCGGCGCCGGCCGCGCAAAACUGCGCAUCCCGCCGAAGGACUGGUAAGAAAAACAAGGGCGAGAGUGCUUCGGUUUUACCCAAUGCUAUCCUCGUUAAUGAUCCUUCCGCAGGUUCACCUACGGAAA
rnacentral:misc_RNA from 1 species